rnacentral:rRNA from 1 species
GACAGAGGGUGCAAACGUUGUUCGGAAUUACUGGGCGUAAAGCGCGUGUAGGCGGCCAUCUAAGUCGGGCGUGAAAUCCCACGGCUCAACCGUGGAAGUGCACUCGAAACUGGAUGGCUAGAGUCCUGGAGAGGAAGGUGGAAUGCUUGGUGUAGAGGUGAAAUUCGUAGAUAUCAAGCGGAACACCGGUGGCGAAGGCGGCCUUCUGGACAGUGACUGACGCUGAGACGCGAAAGCGUGGGGAGCAAACAGGAGUUAA